UCCGGUACGCUGCGAAAAAUUCUACACGUUAUUUUUUCCGAGUCUAAUACACGUGACCAAUUAACGAUCGUGUUCCAGCAGCAUGUACUUACGUGCUUUGACUCGAUAAUUGAUUCGAAAAAAAAACGAUAGAAAAAGAAAAAGAAUUUUGUAAAUUACAUUGAUGAAUAUUUUUAUAAAAAAGAAAAAGUUUUCGAAAUGAUUUUAUUAUUUUUAUAAAAGUAAAUGGAAAAUGAAAAAUAGAAUCUUGCAUACCAUCUCUUGGAAAGUAUCAAAUCUAUCGAAUUUCUUGCUACCAACUUCACAGAAUUUAAAUCGGAAUACCUAACCAAGAAAUCACAAAACCACUUCUCUUCUAAUCUUUCAGGCCAGUCACUAAAAACUUCCAUAAAGAAAUUCAACUAAACAUAGUAAAGAAACUACAUAUUACCAAAGUAUUUUAUAGUAUUUUUCUUCUAGGAAUCGAUAAGUUUUCGAAAAAAAGAGAAAAAAAAGAAGUGGAACGCGAUUCGUCUCGGUUGAAAAACAAGAGCUCAUUUACCUUUUCUCCUGUAAUGUUAAGGAAACAAGAUGGAGGCUUUUCGCAAUAUACCAGCGUCCCCCUCGCAAAAAAUGUCAACCGUAUUACCUUUUUGCUCGAGUGGUCGCAAUUUUUGUGUAAGUUAAUUGCAUGCCGUGCUCGGGGUGCGCAAUUGAUGCUCUUCUCUUCUGUAUCGUGGAAAUAAGUACAGAAACAGGUCCAAAAGAGACACGAUCGACCGACAAUGGUAUCGAGGCGUGCUCCUGCUCGAGAAACACGCUGAAUUCGAGCGAAAAGAGAACGAGGAAGGACCGGCUGGUUCUCUCUAGCGAGGGUAACGCGGCGAGAACACGAAGCAAACGACAAGUAUAGAUAUACGCAGAGAACGAAGUGCGUCGUUUGACUGCUUUGACUGGCGUGCGCACGCAGCAGAAGGAAAAAAGGGGCUGUGCUCAAGUGGCGACGUCUGUUGCGGCCAAAGGACAGGGAGGAGUCAAGUGUUUGCUUGCCAGGCGAAUUAUUUUAUUGCUGACUGGAGAAAGGUUAUGUCGAAUCGACUUUAAAUCCCUUUUCGUUGAGUGUGACAUUUGUUUCGUGCCGAAAAAAACAGUGACUAGAUCGCGAGAAAUGUUACCAAUGAAAUAUAUAGCACUAUAACAAGGAUAGUGAGGUUAUGUUCGAAAAUUUCUCAACGCUUUAAUGAAAUUUAGAUAUCUAUCUUGAAAGCACGAAAAAAAUGAAAAAAAUUUUCAAUCAGGAAUACUUUUGAUGAUAAUUGUUGAUUAUUAUUGAAAGAGAUAAUCAUUUUAUCGAGAGAAGAUUAUAUUUUAAUAUUAUAAAUUCAAUGAAAGAAAUAAAUGCUUAUUGAAAACAUGUAAAUUUCACUUUUUCACGUUCUAAUUUCACCUUUCCUAUUUAAAAUUAAAAUUCUGACAUGAAAAUUAUCGUUUCAAAUACUAAAAAAAAAAAAAAAGAAUCACUCGAAGCACGAAUGAGACUAUUAUUAUAACACCAAUCGUUGUUCUAAGAAGUACAAUUUUUUCUAUCAUAAUCAAACAUUUAAUAAUCAUGCAAUUUCAAAUUCGCGUGCAUAUCGAUCGCAUGUAUAGUAACAUGCAUAGUAAUUUUUGAAGAGUCAAGAAAAAAUAUAAAAUAUCAUACAGAUUAUAGAAUUAUAUAGAAAUAUUAUAAAAUUAAAUAAUUAAAUAGCAUAAGUAGACGAUAUGAAUGGAACGAAACACAUUAAGUGCACGAACAACAUUCACAUAAGACUGUCUGUGAGAUGAUCUGAUCUGUCGCCUAGGGCAAAGAGAAACCUGCUCCGCUAGUUACUAUUAAUCGGAAAUUGUUUAACUCGUCUGAUUAACAUCUGAUUGGUCUAUAAGUAUACAGCGUGCAAUAACGUCCGUUGUUAUCAGUCGGAAAUGUAUAAUCCCAUACCUUAAUAUGAUGCUACUUCUCUUUCAGCACAUAAUCAUUUAGAACACAUCCAGAACAUUGAAACAACUUUAUCGUAUUACUGAUUGCACGACUCUUUCAUUUGUGAAAAUUACACCCACUAAACUUUAUCACCGUUAUGUGCGUCGUCAUCUAAUAUUACAUGCGCGAAAUUGAAAUGCGCAUUUGAAUUCAGACACUGAUCCCUCUGGUGGUGAAAUAGAGUACUUGACUUGUGAUCCGUAGGGUCGAGAAAAACAAUGAAUCAUGGUAAGGGUUAGAUUGAAAUAAAGAGAUGGGAUUUCUUUUGUAGAGUUUGACUCUCCGAAGUACUUUCAAGAUGAAUGACUAACACACUGCGUCAAUUUUUCUUCCUUUUGUAAAAAAGGAAACUAUAAUGUGCCGUACCGGUUGACAUCAUUAUCAUUACCACUUUUGCAUAAAAGGAAAUUGAAAUCGCUCUUUAAUCAAGCAUACAGUGUAAGGAGAAAAACGAUCAAGAAAACACGUCAACAACGGAUUGGAAAAUUAGAGCAGAGAUGAGCGCGUGCAAUGGAUUCGGAAAGAUCUGUCAUCGCUUUCGAAAAUUUCUCCCUUUUUCCUCGAGGCAAGCGAAAGACCCCUUUACAACUACCCAAGUUGCGGGGAAGCUACGAGAAACGGCCCUGAUGGCCUGUAAACAAGUGAAACAGAACUUUCACGGCCACGAGCUCGACCUGGUCACUUCGUUUUAGGUGUACAGAUAUUACAUAUAUAGUACAUACGAGGUCGGACAAAAAACGAAGCAGAAACAGCAACGGUUAUCCCAGCCUGGCUCUGUGAGAGCAGAAUCGACGCAUAAAAAAGAAACAGGUUAUCGAAUUAAAGCGAUACCGGUCCCGAGACGCGUAAUUUCUAUCCCCAGGCCAUUCCAGAAUAAUAUUUGGAGGGCAACGGUACACGCCUUGGGCGAAUCUUUCAAUAUUUUCCAUCUUUGAUUCUCGAUUUAUCGUUUCUAUUCCAAACAUAUAGCGAACGUUCGUAUUCGCGGAUGAAAAAAUGGUGGAUAUUAUUUGUUUACAGACACGUCUUUCCACUAUAGUACCAUGGAAACCCAGGCGAAAAAAUGCUUCGCUACGCAAUAAGAUCGUUUUCGUUUACUUACGAACUCGGAUGGAUCAUAUUACACCUCGACGCCAUGGUUCGGAGAUGUUCAAGAUAGUGUCUAGGACGCGUGACGAGCAUACACUUUUCUAACACACUCCAAUGGAUUUUCAGUUAGAUAAUAAUAAAAUUCAAAAAAAAAGAAAAAAAAAA